ensembl:rRNA 5S_rRNA 5S ribosomal RNA
GUCUAUGGCCAUACCACCCCGAACACACCUGAUCUCUCAAGCUAACCAGGGUUGCGCCUGGUUAGUACUUGGAUGGGAGGAGGCUACAUGGAGGUGACCAGAGGGCCAGGGCAGUUGGAGACA